rnacentral:rRNA from 1 species
UACGUAGGGUGCAAGCGUUGUCCGGAAUUAUUGGGCGUAAAGAGCGCGCAGGCGGUCGUUCAAGUCGCGUGUGAAAGCCCCUGGCUCAACUGGGGAGGGUCACGCGAUACUGAUCGACUCGAAGGCAGGAGAGGGUAGUGGAAUUCCCGGUGUAGUGGUGAAAUGCGUAGAUAUCGGGAGGAACACCAGUGGCGAAGGCGACUACCUGGCCUGUUCUUGACGCUGAGGCGCGAAAGCGAGGGGAGCAAACGGG